UAUCGUCCAUGCUUGGAACAAAGGUCUGGAAAAUUCUCUCCAGCCGUUCUAUUUCAAAUUACUCCUUAAGAUGCACUUUGACCCUGAUGCCUGUGGGGCAUUGCUGAUUAUAGCUAGGCAGAGUGGAAGUUAAAUUGUUUUCUAGGCAGCCUAUAUGAAAACAUGCUCACGUUAUUUCUGCUGUGGUUUUGCUGUCAAGCCCUUUCCUGCUGGGGAGGACAAGGCCAUAAUGCCGGUUUAGUAAUCACCAGCUGUCAUUGGCAGCUGACGUAGAUAAGAGAAGCUCUCAGCUCUGCUGGUUGUUACCUUCCUUCUCCUUCAGUCACAGCUCUAUCAGAUUGCUUUUAGCCACCAUGCUUCUUUCAUUCUUCAUGACUCUUGCACAUCUGUGAAUUUAGCUCCUUUGCCUCGCUAGGGGACUGAUGCAGAGUCCACCCUUUCAGAAUAUGUUAACGCAUCUUGACUUCAAGCGUCAAAGGUCUGGUUUUUUGGGGGUGGCUUUCUUGCAUGUGGAGCUGCAGAUCUUAACCCUUCAGGGUAGCAGGAGGGCUUCCUUCAUAGUUGCUAUUACUUGCCUAACUGCUUAUGGAAAGGGCAGGCGUCCUAGCUAAUCAGAGCUUCAGACAAGCAAUUCUUCACAUUGUUUUAGUGUUUUUAAUUAAAACUGUAGGCUCCAGCAUCACGUGGCAGAGAGCCAGUAUCAAGCAUCUGACAAUAGGCUUCACCAUCUACCAACAAUAAGGGAAUUCCUCAGCGUAUGCUCUGGAGGCUUCUGAAAUGCUGUGAACGGGUGAGAUUGCUGUUUGCAAAGCACCCUGCAACAUUCAGCCUUGCAGGUCUGCUGAUUUUUAAAUUAUAUAAACAAAACCCUAUAAACCCCCAAUAACACAAAGAUACUGACUUCUGUUUAUACUGUCCAGAUCACAGAUGCUGAGCAUGAACGCACGAACAGUCCUUUUGUAUGGGGUUUGACACUUUCUGCGGCUGUCUGCACUGUUUUUUAAUACACAGAAUCCCUGAUUCUCCACUGCCUUGCACCCUGUCUAUUCAUUCUCACCCCUGUGAAGUGAGGGUAAAACACUAUCAAAACAAAAUGGUACCAUUUUGCAUGUUUUCCACUCAGUUUGUACAGGUGUAAAUAACUACAGAAAGAACGGGGCAGAGCAGAACCUGACCCACAGUCUGUCUCUCAGUGCGUCAGGGGUCCUGAAGUGGGGGGAUGACAGAACAAACACAAGCUGUUACCUUGCCAUUUUUGCUAAUGUUUUAAAAUCAGGCAGCUUGUGAGGAUGACAGAUGCAGAAGUCAGGCAGUUCUUAGUUCUGUAGUCCUCACGUGAUGUCUUCUCUUAGAGCAAUAGAAGCGUUACCUAUGGCAUGGAUAAGUGCUUAGGUUAGCUGGUAUAAGAACAGAGUUACCAACACGAGUUGUCUUUCUGAGUUGUUUAGCUAUUGCACUUAGUACUGGAGAAAGAAAAAUCCAUUGUUAUUUCUGCUGUUUAUUAUAUUACCUUUGCUUUUAUAAACCUUUUUAAUGGAGAGUGGGCUCUUCAAGCUGUGGUAAGCCUGCUGCUUUGUCUCCUGGGUCUUGGACAUGAACAGCACUCAGGUUUUUAAUUUAUAUGUUUGUUUUUUUGUGUAUUUGUCAUUAUAGCAACAGAAGACUGUACUCACCUUAACUCGUUUUCCGUCAUCCUCAUACUGCUUGACACAACUCUGCAGGUUUGAAAGGGACCAACUUGCAGAAAAAAAAUGGAAGUUCUGUCCUGAGAACAAGCAUGAGAAGGUUCACCUGAAAGGCGCAGUUGCCCUUCACAGCCUUCUGCAUCAUCAAGUUCCAGUUCAAUAGGUGCAGUUGGAUGCAUGUUGUGCUAGAGUGCAGGAGGGGAGAUUAUCUGUGCCAUAUCUUUCUGCUUUCCAAUACAAAAUACCGCAGUCUAUCAGGACACGGUGUUGACUUACACAUUAAAGAAGUACUGGGAUAUAUGCGGACUGGAACCUGAAUACAUGUUGACAAACCUCAAAAAGCUACACUAACUGCUCUGAUUUAACACAGCAGUUGGCUGGAUCCAUAUGGAGCUGAUGAACCUCUGAAUGAAUAGUGAAUGGAAAAACUGCUGGAAUCUGCCUUCAGCUUUGUUCCCAGGAUGACCAAUGUAAAAGGCCUAAGAGCAAUACUGCACAGAUGGUGUAAAGAGAAAUAAGUCAUCAGUUUCUGCCUACCUUGUGUAUGAAGAGAACCAAUUCCAUAUUUAUCAGAACUCCAGACACCCCUUCUUCCACCUCUCCUUCUCAG